UAGUAGUGUGAAUAGUUUUUUGACCUAUGGUGCCUCGACUGCUCAUAAUGGAGUUAUUGUAGUUUGACUGUAUAUAAGCAUGAUCUCUUAGUCAUUUGAAUCCUUACAGUAUUUGUUGGUUACACUAGAUUCAUUGUAGGAGUAGGGUGCGCACAUAGAUGAGAUCUAUCAACCUUAAUAGAUAAGUAGUAGUCCUAUAAGAUUUCAGAAGCU
rnacentral:lncRNA from 1 species